rnacentral:rRNA from 1 species
AAUGAUGCCCUUUACUCACUAGCAAUGGGUCCUAAUACUCGGGUAAGACAUUAUGAAUCUUGCGUUGUUGGAGAUGUGCGCUACAACACCCUUGCACGAGACGAAGGCAGGAAGACACAAAACAGUGCCAUCAUGAGCACGGAUACGUAUGACAAAGAGACAACUGAAAUGUAUGCUGACAUAACAGACAUUGUUCAGUUGCAGUAUAUCUCUAGUUUCGAGGAUCAUCGGUGUGUGGUUCUGUUGUGUUGUCGUUGGUAUAACCUCUUUUCCAGGAUCGCAAAACUCAGAGUUGAUGAUUAUUUCAAAUCC